CCUACGGGAGGCAGCAGUGGGGAAUAUUGCACAAUGGGGGAAACCCUGAUGCAGCGACGCCGCGUGAGCGAGGACGUAUCUCGGUAUGUUAAGCUCUAUCAGCAGGGACGAAAAAAGACGGUACCUGACUAAGAAGACCCGGCUAACUACGUGCCAGCAGCCGCGGUAAUACGUAGGGGGCAAGCGUUAUCCGGAUUUACUGGGUGUAAAGGGAGCGUAGACGGCAAGGCAAGUCAGAAGUGAAAUGGCAGGGCUUAACCCCGUACAUGCUUUUGGAACUGUGGUGCUAGAGUGCAGGAGAGGUAGGUGGAAUUCGUAGUGUAGCGGUGAAAUGCGUAGAUAUUAGGAAGAACACCGGUGGCGAAGGCAGCUUACUGGUCUGUAACUGACGUUGAGGCUCGAAAGCGUGGGGAGCAAACAGGAUUAGAUACCCUAGUAGUC
rnacentral:rRNA from 1 species